CGUGUUACCUGGCAGGGGAGAUACCGUGAUCCCGACGUGGUCUGCGCAGGCUGAGGCUCAUCCAGUACACUCCAGAUGUGCUGACUCUGCGAUUCCCCCAAUGCGGGAAACUUCUGUAUAAUUUGUGGUUGUGGGGGAGAAUGCGCCCAUGCUCUCCGC
ensembl:snRNA U1 U1 spliceosomal RNA